rnacentral:rRNA from 1 species
GACGAACGCUGGCGGCGUGCUUAACACAUGCAAGUCGAACGCUGAAGCUCAGCUUUUGUUGGGUGGAUGAGUGGCGAACGGGUGAGUAACACGUGAGUAACCUGCCCCCUUCUUUGGGAUAACGCCCGGAAACGGGUGCUAAUACUGGAUAUUCACUGGUCUUCGCAUGGGGGUUGGUGGAAAGGGUUUUUCUGGUGGGGGAUGGGCUCGCGGCCUAUCAGCUUGUUGGUGGGGUGAUGGCCUACCAAGGCUUUGACGGGUAGCCGGCCUGAGAGGGUGGCCGGUCACAUUGGGACUGGGAUACGGCCCAGACUCCUACGGGAGGCAGCAGUGGGGAAAAUUGCACAAUGGGCGCAAGCCUGAUGCAGCGACGCCGCGUGAGGGAUGGAGGCCUUCGGGUUGUGAACCUCUUUCGCUCAUGGUCAAGCCGCAACAAUGGUUGUGGUGAGGGUAGUGGGUAAAGAAGCGCCGGCUAACUACGUG